AGAACAAUACAGUAUUACCUUCAAACAUCCUAAUAUGAUGACUCUGUUUAUUUGGUUUCAUUUACUGAUUAUAGUUGGAGUUCAUGUAAGAUCAGAAGUGUCAGGUCUCCUUCAAAAACCUUACAUAGAGUCUCCAGAGAAACAAAUGAAUAUAGAAGACACCAUUAUGAUUCGC